GAUAAUAAAAUAAUUUGCCAUGAGGGAAACAAAUGUUAAAGAAUUUUAUUAAUUUAUAAAUGACUCCUCAUUAGGAGGGUUGAAUACAACAUUCUUGUGAAAAUAAUUUACAGUGGCGUGAUAUGCCGUUAGCUAAUUCAUUCCUAAAAUUACAUCAAAGUUCCCCAUGUCAAUCUAUAUUAGGUCAACAUUCAAUUUCUUAUCUACUAUAUCUAUGACACAGACUUUGUAUAUAACUUUUCCCAAUAGUGUCCUACUCCCAAGAUUAGCCACAAAGAACAUAGAAUUAAGUUCUUUAGGUAAUACAAUUAAUUUUGAUG
rnacentral:lncRNA from 1 species